GUGGCCUACGGGACGCAGCAGUAGGGAAUCUUGGUCAAUGGGCGGGAGCCUGAACCAGCCAAGUCGCGUGAGGGACGACGGUCCUAUGGAUUGUAAACCUCUUUUGUCGGGGAACAAAGGCGCCCACGGGUGGGCGGAUGAGUGUACCCGAAGAAAAAGCAUCGGCUAACUCCGUGCCAGCAGCCGCGGUAAUACGGAGGAUGCGAGCGUUAUCCGGAUUUAUUGGGUUUAAAGGGUGCGCAGGCGGACCAUCAAGUCAGCGGUAAAAUCGUGGGGCCCAACCCCAUCCCGC
rnacentral:rRNA from 1 species